GCAGUGGUGGUUCAGUGGUAGAAUUCUUGUCUCCAAUGCAGGAGACCUGGGUUCAAUUCCUGGGCAACGCA
rnacentral:tRNA from 1 species